rnacentral:rRNA from 1 species
UACAGAGGGGGCAAGCGUUGUUCGGAAUUACUGGGCGUAAAGGGCGCGUAGGCGGCCUGUUAAGUCGAACGUGAAAUCCCCGGGCUCAACCCGGGAACUGCGUCCGAUACUGGCAGGCUUGAAUCCGGGAGAGGGAUGCGGAAUUCCAGGUGUAGCGGUGAAAUGCGUAGAUAUCUGGAGGAACACCGGUGGCGAAGGCGGCAUCCUGGACCGGCAUUGACGCUGAGGCGCGAAAGCCAGGGGAGCAAGCGGG